rnacentral:rRNA from 1 species
AAAACAUCGCCUUUUGCUUAACAUAAAAGGUCCAGCCUGCCCAGUGACUUGUUCAACGGCCGCGGUAUCCUAACCGUGCGAAGGUAGCGUAAUCACUUGUUUUCUAAAUCAAGACUUGUAUGAAAGGCACCACGAGGGUCCAACUGUCUCCUUUUUUUCAUCAGUGAAACUAAUCUCCCCGUGAAGAAGCAGGGAUAUUUAUAUAAGACGAGAAGACCCUAUGGAGCUUUAAACUGCAGAUCACCUGCACUAUUGAAUUUUACCUCAAUAAGCAUUAAUUGGUCCCUAAGUUUUAGGUUGGGGUGACCCAGGAGAAAAAAUCAUCCUCCUGGCGGAUACGAUUUACUCUAAGCAAAAAGUUACAUCUUUAAGCAUCAAUACAUUGACUCUCAUUGACCCAAUUUUCUGAUCAACGAACCAAGUUACCCUAGGGAUAACAGCGCAAUCUAUUUUAAGAGCCCCUAUCGACAAGUAGGUUUACGACCUCGAUGUUGGAUCAAGGUAUCCCAGUGGCGCAGCCGCUACUAACGGUUCGUUUGUUCAACGAUUAAAACCCUACGUGAUC